rnacentral:ncRNA from 1 species
UGGAGAACUGCGAAGAGCCAACCCUAGUAUGAGAGGAACGGGUUGGGCCAAUUUAUGGUGUACCGAUUGUUAUACCAAUAGCAGUGUCGGUCAACUAAGAUGGUAUGGAAGAAUUGUUGCAUUGCAGGAAAUUCUUCUUUAUACAAGUUCUUGGACGAGGUUUUUAAACAUCACUUCAAUAGGCGAGAGGUGUAACCACCGCAAGGUGUUCAGUGAUCUCAUACUAAACGAAUGG